rfam:Beta vulgaris subsp. vulgaris chromosome 2, whole genome shotgun sequence.
CUUUUCAAACCCCAAUUUUCAUAAGAGGGGCCAAUAACGACCUGUGAGACAAUAAGCGAUAAACUUCAUUGUUGAGAGGAAAAGAGUUUGGAUCAGCAACUAACGCCUCUAAAUGACCGCUCAGUGGUAAAGGGAGUAAGGGUGUUGAGACAGAAAAAAAAAUGUUUGCGUAGAAGCAACCACCCUUGAAAGAGCGUGUAAUAGCUCACUAAUCGAGCGCUUUUCGUCGCAGAUAAACGGGGCUAAGUGGUCUGGCGAAGCUAUGAGAUGUAAAAAGACAUUGAUAGGGGAGCUUUUAAUUUAGGGGGAAGCAUCGAUGCGAGUCGUGUCUAACAGAGCGGAAGCG